rnacentral:rRNA from 1 species
GGGCUUGACAUCCCACGAACCUGCCAAAAGGCAGGAGUGCCCGCAAGGGAGCGCGGAGACAGGUGGUGCAUGGCUGUCGUCAGCUCGUGUCGUGAGAUGUUGGGUUAAGUCCCGCAACGAGCGCAACCCUCACCCCUUGUUGCCAUCAGGUCAUGCUGGGCACUCUAGGGGAACUGCCCCGGUCAACGGGGAGGAAGGCGGGGAUGACGUCAAGUCAUCAUGCCCCUUACGCCCUGGGCUACACACGUGCUACAAUGGCCGGUACAAAGGGAAUGCAACGCUGUGAGGCAGAGCCAAACCCAAAAAGCCGGUCUAAGUUCAGAUUGGAGUCUGCAACUCGACUCCAUGAAGGAGGAAUCGCUAGUAAUCGCGUAUCAGCACGACGCGGUGAAUACGUUCCCGGGCCUUGUACACACCGCCCGUCACACCACGAACCUGUACUCGAAGCGCUGAG